rnacentral:rRNA from 1 species
UAGGGAAUCUUCCACAAUGGACGCAAGUCUGAUGGAGCAACGCCGCGUGAGUGAAGAAGGUCUUCGGAUCGUAAACUCUGUUGUUGGAGAAGAACACGAGUGAGAGUAACUGUUCAUUCGAUGACGGUAUCUAACCAGCAAGUCACGGCUAACUACGUGCCAG